rnacentral:rRNA from 1 species
GAUGAACGCUGGCGGCGUGCCUAAUACAUGCAAGUCGAGCGAACGGACGAGAAGCUUGCUUUUCUGAUGUUAGCGGCGGACGGGUGGGUAACACGUGGAUAACCUACCUAUAAGACUGGGAUAACUUCGGGAAACCGGAGCUAAUACCGGAUAAUAUUUUGAACCGCAUGGUUCAAAAGUGAAAGACGGUCUUGCUGUCACUUAUCGAUGGAUCCGCGCUGCAUUAGCUAGUUGGUAAGGUAACGGCUUACCAAGGCAACGAUGCAUAGCCGACCUGAGAGGGUGAUCGGCCACACUGGAACGGAGACACGGUCCAGACGCCUACGGGAGGCAGCAGUAGGGAAUCUUCCGCAAUGGGCGAAAGCCUGACGGAGCAACGCCGCGUGAGUGAUGAAGGUCUUCGGAUCGUAAAACUCUGUUAUUAGGGAAGAACAUAUGUGUAAUUAACUGUGCACAUCUUGACGGUACCUAAUCAGAAAGCCACGGCUAACUACGUG